CCUACGGGUGGCAGCAGUGAGGAAUAUUGCACAAUGGACGAAAGUCUGAACCAGCGACGCCGCGUGAACGAUGAAGGAUUUCUGUGUUUAAAACUCUAUCUGCACGGAAGAAAAUGACGGUACCUGACUAUGAAUCCCCGGCUCACGACGUGCCAGCUGCCGCGAGAAUACGUAGGGAGCAAGCGUUAUCCGGAUUUACUGGGUGUAAAGGGGGCGUAGACGGUCGUACAAGCCAGAUGUGAAAGCCCGGGGCUCAACGUCGGAACUGCAUUUGGAACUUUAAGGCUAGAGAGUAGGUGGGGCAGGCGGAAUGUAUGGUGUAGCGGUGAAAUGCGUAGAGAUUAGGCAGAACACCAGUGGCGAAGGCGGCCUAC
rnacentral:rRNA from 1 species